rfam:Citrus sinensis cultivar Ridge Pineapple sweet orange scaffold01217_contig_4, whole genome shotgun sequence.
UAUCCAUGAUGUGGACACUUCAAAAGUAGCCCAUUGAAUCGCUCCCAUGUUUCGAAAAAUUGUUCAUCUUCUCUCUGGGUAAACUUUGAGAUUUUCCUGCGAAU